GUAAGUCUUCAAUAUAGUAUUUAUAUGGAGUUAAUAAGUUUAUGAGUCCACUAAUAAAAUUUCAACAACAUUUAGUGACAAUUGCGUUGUUAAUUAACAACAUAUUAUGUCAUUAUAAUUUAGGUUGUUGUUAACAGUUUCUCUUGACUCCUCCAUGAGAUAGAUUUGUCCGCAGACACAAGGAUUACCCCAAAUUGACUUUUAGUUUCUUUUGAACAUCAUAAAAUCAAGGUAAGAAUAAUCAACCUCUUCUUAUGGUCUUUCUCGUUUCUUAAAGAUAUUGUAAGAUGCUUCACAAUAAUCUAGAGUGAUAUAAUGUUCAUCAAUGUGAGCAAUAUCUAAACGAGUAUAGACUUGAACCUUCAUAAGGCUUCUAAUUAAUGAAGCAUAAGGAAGUAAUCUCAUUUAUCAUUUUAUCCUCUUAAUGAGAGCAAUAUUGUUUGUUACAUAUGUAAGGACCCACUUUAGAGUAAAGCUUAUGGCACGAAACUAAUGCCCCAAUAGGUCUAUCUUGGUAUAUUUUGAUAUCUCUCACGUAAGUGGUAUUUCCGAGAUUCAUUAUAUCAAAAUAUGUGUGAGAAAUUAUUUGACUUAUGUAACAUAUACUUAUCAAAAGAGUGUCAUCUAUAUAAGGACAAGUUAACAUUAGUUGCUCCCACUCAUCCUGAGGUUGGUACACAUAAAUCCACUUAAUUCGUGAUGAAAAGAAUCGCAUUAAGAUUUCGUCACAUUUUGAUGUUUGCUUCAACCCAUAUAUGGAUUUCAUCGACUUAGAAACUAAGUGUUCUUGACCUUUCAGUUUAGAACUUUCAGGUUGUUUUGAACAUGUAAGUCUUUGUUUAGGGAAAAUUGUUUUAAUAUCCAUUUAAUGUAGCUACAAAAGAUUAUAAGCUACUAGAACAACAAUGAUCCUCAAAGAAACCUUUUGUAAGAAAGGUAAGAUGAUUCUUUGAUAAAUAAUUCUCUUCUGAGCAUAACCAUUAACAAUCAAUCUUGCUUUUAGUGUCUUAACAUUUGCAUUUGGAUUUAGGUAAUUCAACCAAAUCCCAAACGUUAUUUUGACACAUAAAAUCAAAUUUGCUAAUAACAAUUUUUAUUACAUUUAGAAAAUUGAUUGAUGCUAAUGGCUUAAUUAGAAGAGGUAGGAUCAGUAAACUUUCUAAAAUCCAUUUCAACUUCAGUCAAGGAGGAUACAUAAUCAUCAAAGUUAGUAGGCUUUUAAACCUAGAUGGCCUCCUUAGUUGAUUAUUAGGUUUAUUAAGAGUUUCAGUUUUAUGGAUUAACUCUUGCCUAAGUUGCUAUCACUUUCAAAAUUCUAAGUGUGCGCAAGAGGUGUAAUCGGAGUAAAAUUUAAUAGGUCUCUUCCCCCCGCCUCUUGCACUUCUGGCAAAUCCUGAUAAGGACUUUUACUGCUCCCACUGACUUAGAAAUCUUUAACAAUUUAGCAUGCUUAUGGUGCAAAUUGAGGUAAUAACAAGUUUUCACUCCCCCACCUCUUGCAACUCUCGCAAAUUAAGAUUAAGACACUUAAUACUCCCACUAACCUUUUAGAUCUGUAGGAAUGCUACAAGAUAAGUUUCAAUGAUGUAU
rnacentral:lncRNA from 1 species